AUGUGGUGCAACCACUGGUAACGCACAUCAUGAUUGGUGUCGUGGAAAUAUUCGGUCAAUUCUAUUUCACAAAUAUAUAUAUAUUUUUAACCUUUAUUUAACUAGGCAAGUCAGUCAAGAACAAAUUCUUAUUUUCAAUGACGGCCUAGGAACAGUGGGUUUAACUACCUUGUUCAGGGGCAGAACGACAGAUUUGUACCUUGUCAGCUGGGGGAUUCGAACUUGCAACCUUUCGGUUACUAGCCCAAUGCUCUAACAACUAGGCUACCCUGCCACCCUGGAGCCCGUGGCUGCUGCCCCCUGGUGGUUGCCAGUCAGAGGGGCAGACUGGAGGCACCCAGAGGGUCUCGACUCCAGCAUCACUAACAGACCAUCCUGUGCUGCAUGUGUCAUGGGGGGAUGGUCUGGCCUACUGCUCCUGGACCCACAAGAGACUGAGUGGGAGUACGCCUGCAGAUGUGGCCUACAACACAGGUGAUGUCAUUUCCUGCUAAUGGCUAUGGCCUGUACAACAUGGUGGGGAAGGCAUGGGAGUGGACAUCUGACUGGUGGACUGUUCACCACACUAAGGACGAUAAUACACAAACACAUUUAUUUUAUGUGGCACUUAUAUCUGUGAGGAUUUCCUCUUCUUCAUGUUCUGAUAUUUUCUCUCCUCUCUUUUACAGACAGGACCACCAUCAGGCAGAGACCAAGUGAAAAAAGGAGGCUCCUACAUGUCUCAUAAGAAUUCUGGGCUGUAGUGGAGCAGGCCAAGAGUUUCAAGUUUCUUGGUAUUCACAUCACCAACAAACUAUCAUGGUCCAAACACACCAAGACAGUCGUGAAGAGGGCACGACAACACCUAUUCCCCCUCAGGAGACUGAAAAGAUUUGGUAUGGGUCCUCAGAACCCCAUAAAGUUCUACAGCUGCACCAUCGAGAGCAUCCUGACCGGUUGCAUCACCGCCUGGUAUGGCAACUGCUCGGCAUCUGACCGUACGGCGCUACAGAGUGUAGUGCGUACCCAGUACAUCUCUAAGCUUCCUGCAAUCCAGGAUCUUUAUAAUAGGAUGUGUCAGAGGAAAGCCCCCAAAAUUGUCAAAGACUACAGUCACCCAAGUCAUAGACUGUUCUCUCUGCUACCGCACGACAUUCAUGUUCUUUAAUAAAGGAACUAGACAUGAAAUAACUAACAAAACAAUAAAUGUGCGAAAACCUAAACAGUCCUAUCUGGUGCAAACACAGAGACAGGAACAAUCACCCACAAACACACAGUGAAACCCAGGCUACCUAAAUAUGGUUCCCAUAUUUGACUAACACCUGCCUCUGAUUGAGAACCAUAUCAGGCCAGACAUAGAAAUAGACAAACAAGACAUCCAACAUAGAAUGCCCACUCAGAUCACACCCUGACCAACCAAAACAUAGAAACAUACAAAGCAAACUAUGGUCAGGGUGUGACAGGAACGAAGUGGCUAGCUAGCUAAGUGUGUCAUUGUUUCGUUAAUUUUCAUUCUAUUGUCCGUGCAAUAGGCCAUCAUUGAUUUUGGCCCAAUAGGCCUGACAUGACCUCUUUCAAGGAGCUUUCCGUGUUGAUAGGGUUAUUUUGCCUAAAAACAAAAAACAACUCUGCAUCCCUGCCAAUGUAAGGGGUGCGUACUGGCGGCAGAGAAGUCAGACGCAGGAGAGCAAAAACUGUGUUUCCAACGACGCAGUUUAAUAACAAAAAAAACAGGAAAACAGAACAAUCAAAUAAUGGGUAAAUAAACCGGACAGACGUGCACAAGCACUUACAAUAAACAAUCACCGACAAGGACUUGAGGGGGAACAGAGGAUUAAAUACACAACAUGUAAUUGAUGGAAUUGGAACCAGGUGUGAUGGAAGACCAGACAAAACCAAGAGGAUCAGCAAUGGCUAGAAGUUCUUCGACCGCUGAACGCCGCCCGAACUUGGAAAGGGACCAACUUCAGCCUAUACGCGCAAUUUAUAGACUAUAAUGAUUUAAUAGAACAAAAUGUUGUUUAAAUACUUGAGCGCUUAAUGUUCCUGCCAGCCUUUUGUGUUGCAAUCGCAAAUGCUUCAAAAUUUAUUUCUUUGUAGGCUAAUAUACAGUGCCUUGCAAAAGUAUUCACCCCCCAUUGGUAUUUUACCUAUUUUGUUGCGUUACAACCUGUAAUUUAAAUAGAUUUCUAUUUGGAUUUCAUGUAAUGGACAUAAACAAAAUAGUCCAAAUUGGUGAAGUGAAAUGAAAAAAAAUUACUUGUUUAAAAAAAUUAUAAAAAAGAUCUUAACGGAAAAGUGGUGCUUGCAUAUGUAUUCACCCCUUUUGCUAUGAAGCCCCUAAAUAAGAUGUGGUGCAACCAAUUACCUUUAGAAGUCACAUAAUUAAUUAAAUAAAGUCCAUCUGUGUGCAAUCUG